UGGGGAAUAUUGCACAAUGGGGGAAACCCUGAUGCAGCGACGCCGCGUGAGCGAUGAAGGCAUUCGAGUCGUAAAGCGCUGUCCUAUGGGAAGAUAAUGACGGUACCUAACCAGAAAGCCACGGCUAACUACGUGCCAGCAGCCGCGGUAAUACGUAGGUGGCAAGCGUUGUCCGGAAUUAUUGGGCGUAAAGCGCGCGCAGGUGGUUUAGAAAGUCUGAUGUGAAAGCCCACGGCUCAACCGUGGAGGGUCAUUGGAAACUAAUAAACUUGAGUGCAGGAGAGAAAAGUGGAAUUCCUAGUGUAGCGGUGAAAUGCGUAGAGAUUAGGAGGAACACCGGUGGCGAAAGCGGCUUUUUGGCCUGCAACUGACACUGAGGCGCGAAAGCGUGGGGAGCAAACAGG
rnacentral:rRNA from 1 species